GGGGCUGGGGCUCAGAGGUAGAGCGCUCGCCUGGCAUGCGUGAGGCCCUGGGUUCCAUCCUCAGCUCCA
rnacentral:tRNA from 1 species